rnacentral:lncRNA from 1 species
UCUUACACAUACAUAAUAUAAAAUAUAUUUUAUGACUAUGAGUAAAAUGGCUAAAAAUUGUAGUGAACAGAGUAGUUCACAUGCAUACUUUCAUUAAUGAGGAAAAUUGUUCUUAUUUCAUUCUCCUUGUGCCAGUGUCUUUGUGUGCAUGAGUGGGUUUGUGGGAGGUGAAGAGCAGAGGGAGAAAAAGAGAGAGAAGAGGAGGGUGAGAGAGAGGAACAGAAGACCUGGCUGUACUCCUGAAUAACACUGACUUCUUCUAGGAAAGCACUCUGAAGCCAAGUUGAAACAUUAUACUCUCAGGCAGUAGUAGAGAUCAACCUCUUAAAACCAAAUCCAUGGGCCCAGGAGUAUGGAAAAGAGUUCAAUAAAAUGGCCUUAACUGGUAUAAGAAGUUACAAUUGUUAAAAGGAGAUUCAGCUGUGAUAGCAAAAGAGAAAGAAAAUGAAAAAGUUGUCCUGGCUCAUCUCUGGAAAGACAUGAUAUUUCAUAACCUCAAGGUGUUUGCUUCUGACCUAUAACUUCAAUUAUAGACCAGGUUAUCCAAAAGUUCUCCUUAUUAACAAGGUAUCUGUUUUUACCAGGUGUCUGUUAUUAAUUAGUUAGUAUAUAAUUUAAUGCAAUUAACCAAAGCACCUCUUAUGCCUAGAACAUAGCAGGUGGUUUACUUCUUUCUUAUGACAUAUUCAAGACUCAUGGUUUUCCCAUUUUUAGAGUCAAAAACAUAAAUUCCUCCUUUUGCUUUCCUGCGCUAACAUAUCCACCUCACACACCUGUUUACUCUUUGUUUGCAGGGAAAUGUGUACAUCUGCUAGGGCGUGAUCUCGAUGAUGAGGUGACAUAUGGGAUGUCAUUCCAUUAUUUAAAGAACAAAUUCCAAAGAUCAAACUUUUCUCCCCACACUUGUGAGUGAUACAUGGGUCUUCUCAGGGACAUUAAAAUGGAGCUAGUCUCACUGAUUUCAUGGACAUUUAGCAUACAAUUAUUGAGUUACCUGCUGAAAUCUCUUCAUACAUAUCUGGUUUCACCCUAGGUUAUGAAUAUCCAUGCAGACUAUUUUUCCAAGCUUCUACGCAACUAACCUUGGCACUUACCCCCAGCUCAGGCAGCAAGCAAAUUAUUCUGGCUUGAUGUCCAUCUGAUGGUUUACUCUUGCUACCUCCUACUCCCUACUAUAACCACAAAUGACCUCCUCCCCACUUGCUCUCAUUCUUACCAGAAGUUUUCAGUUAACAGCUCACUACUAAGCCAGUUUCCUUCUUAAAGUAUAUAUAUCCUUUUAAAAUUUCCAGUCUUGUUACUCUCUCUCUUCCUCUUCAAUUUCUUGUCCUGUUGUCACAAGAUCUCUUCUUAGCUCACCAAAUUAUCUUCUCUUCCCUUUCUCUUUUAUUCCAUUUAUGAACAAGACACCAACUUCUACCACAACAACAGAACAAAACAACCCCUAGCUUCAAAGAGAACAAAAAAACCCCAAAAUAAAUUAAAAAUGGCUUUAAUGCUUAGAGUUGCAGGGACAAGAAAAACCACAUUCUUUUAAAAUGAAAUUAGAUGUCAUAAAGGACUAUGAACUAGUAAGAGUUCCCCGAAGUCCCCUUCCGAAUCUCACAAAAGACUCCAUCUCCUUCUUCAUCUGGCUUUUUGUUAAUAACCAAUGUCCAAUAUAAAUAGAAACAUUGCUUUGUUUUGA